UACGGGGGGAGCAAGCGUUAUUCGGAUUUACUGGGCGUAAAGGGCGCGUAGGCGGUCGUGACAAGUCACUUGUGAAAUCUCCGGGCUUAACUCGGAACGGUCAAGUGAUACUGUCGGACUAGAGUACAGAAGGGGCAACUGGAAUUCUCGGUGUAGCGGUGAAAUGCGUAGAUAUCGAGAGGAACACCUGCGGCGAAGGCGGGUUGCUGGGCUGAUACUGACGCUGAGGCGCGAAAGCCAGGGGAGCGAACGGG
rnacentral:rRNA from 1 species